rnacentral:rRNA from 1 species
CCAGACUCCUACGGGAGGCAGCAGUGGGGGAUAUUGCACAAUGGGGGAAACCCUGAUGCAGCGACGCCGCGUGAGUGAAGAAGUAUUUCGGUAUGUAAAGCUCUAUCAGCAGGGAAGAAAAUGACAGUACCUGACCAAGAAGCCCCGGCUAACUACGUGCCAGCAGCCGCGGUAAUACGUAGGGGGCAAGCGUUAUCCGGAUUUACUGGGUGUAAAGGGAGCGUAGACGGUUAUGUAAGUCUGGAGUGAAAGCCCGGGGCCCAACCCCGGGACUGCUUUGGAAACUGUGUAACUGGAGUACAGGAGGGGCAGGCGGAAUUCCUGGUGUAGCGGUGAAAUGCGUAGAUAUUAGGAGGAACACCAGUGGCGAAGGCGGCUUACUGGACUGUAACUGACGUUGAGGCUCGAAAGCGUGGGGAGCAAACAGGAUUAGAUACCCCUGUAA